AAGCACCUCCCUAGGCUCCUUGGCUUACUGGAACCCAGAAGAAAGCAACACCCGGAGCAGGGAUCCCGGGCCGGGUCUCAAGGAAAGGGUGCUAGCUGGAGCUCCCCUCCCUUCUUUCCCCACUCCGGCGGCUCCCGGCUGCUCCGGGAUUGGAGGAAAGAGGGGGAAGGGAGGCAGGCCGGAUCCGCAGCUGCUGUUGUAGGGAUGCCUGCCGGGAGAGUCACCGGGCCACCCCUUUUACAAAAUAGCGGUCUCUGAAGCCAAGACCCAUUCCAUCACCAGCAGGGUCUCUCCACUAGUUCCCAGUGCUGUUUACCUAAAUAAGAAGUAGCCCCAGUCGAGGAGGAUGCCAAAGUAUGGGAGCGGUUGCACAGCAAAGUCCCUGGAGAAGAAGUAAAAAACGUUUGCUUUGGAUCUUCCGGAAAGUUAACUGUGAUGCAGAGGUCCUGAAGUCUUUGCAGGAAUGAGUCUCACCGUGAGAGAUAGCAGAUCCUAUCUGGUGUUGAUGUAAUUAUUGUGUCGGAGAAGAACAUUAUAUGAUAAAGUGUUAUCUAAUAUUCUAGAAGCCAUUAAAGCGUCAAACUUUAAUGUCAAGCCUUUUAGAUCUAAGGCAGUUCAGUGUUUCCUCUGAUGUACAGCUUUAUUUUAGAACUCCCAGAAAACAAGGGGAUCAUUUUAUUUUUAUUUAUUUGUUUUACAGAACGCCAGUCCUUCCUACUCGCUUCCUCCACCCCCACACCAGCUUUUACCCUGGAACUGGUGCUCUCCUCCUCUUCUGCUUUGCUGCUGAGCAGUGCACCAUGCAGGCGCUGUUGGGUCAAGAUCUUGAGUUUCUCAAAAAGAAGUACUGUGUCUGUCGGAGAGAUUCAAGAAACCCAACUUCACCUUUUUGUGGUGGUCCAGCUGAUGCUCUUAACUCUGCC
rnacentral:lncRNA from 1 species